CUCAGAAUGGAGAGUGAGAAUUUGGGCUGCUUAAUUCUUAGCUAGAAUGACCCCAACUCUACCUUGAAACAUUUCAUAGGUUAGCCUCUCAUGAACCAUUCUCAUAGCAUCUGGUAGAUUUCCAUCAAGCUGGCUAAAAGGAGGCCUGGUGCCUGGAGAAUCCAGUAUCUUCUUGAGCUGUGAGAUAACUAUUGCUCCCUGGGACAGCAUCAUAGAAAACUGAAGGACCAGAUCUCUGAACUGUUGACUUAGGAACCCAGGGAGUCGAGCACACGAGGCAAACGCACUGCCAGCUUCUGAAAAAGUCUUAUUCCUAAAGUUAAUCAUACUUCUUGAAAACUUUCAUUCUGAUUUUUUUCUCAUUGUGCCAAAAAAAAAAAAAAAUCCUAGGCUUUGAAUAAAAGGAUCUCCUGCUCCAUAUGUGCAGUCCCCCGCACAUUCCAAAGCUGACUUUCCCAGCCAUCAAUAACAGAGAGCAGGUGGCACAGGAGAGCCACAGAAGCAGGGUUUAAAAAAUCACCCCUGACCUCGACAAGAGACAAAAACAGAAACCAAUUCAUGCGAGUGAAAGGCAACCUCACAGAUUCCACAUUCCCCACACCGAGCCACUCUCGGUGCUGUGUUUAAGAGAGACAAGUUCUAGAAAACCAUCCAGACGGUGCCACUGGCCUGACUCGUUGCCACCGGCAGGGACUUGGCAGUCCUUCCAUGUACUGUAUAAAACUGAGGCUCUGGAUCUCAGCAGAGGAGGCUGGAAACUUCCUGUCCCACUCCAGAACUCAGUAAAAGCCUUCAGCUUAGGGCAGCCAGGCCCAUGCAUGUCCCAAAGCCACCUCUGAGCACUGGGGUCUUUUGAUUUUGCAUGCAGCGCAAUGGUGCAAAGCAAAGUUAUCCAUGGGCACUACUGUCUCACUUCAGGCUAUUCCACACCCACACGCUUUCCUCUCCAGAUUUAAGGCCAGUUCACAGGGUGGAGGAUGGCAAUUCGACCCUGAGAAUACCUGUAUUCCCAACACCUGGGAGACUAACAAAGAAAGACAGAAAAGCUUCCAGGACAAGGUCAGUCUGGGCACAAAGUGAAUCUGAGUGAGAACGGGGAAGGGGGGGAUAGGAAGGGGAGGGAAAAGGUAGGAGGGGGAGGAGGUGUUGGGAGGAGAAGAUGCAGAACCACUUCUGACCAAACCCAACCACACCUGGCUUAAAGGGAGAGAGAGGGGCAAAACAACCCUGUAAAUUCAAGAGGCAAAGGGGGUCAGAAUUGUAGAAGGCCAGUGUUGAACAGAGACAUAGCCUCGAAUGUCUGCUCAUUGGUAAAGGGAUGACCUCAGUUCCAAAUGAUCGAUUCAGCAUGAAAGUAGAGUCAGUAUUCAACAAGUUGAAUGCUGUGUGUGUGUGUGUGUGUGUGUGAGAGAGAGAGAGAGAGAGAGAGAGAGAGAGAGAGAGACAGAGAGAGAGACAGAGAGAGAGACAGAGAGAGAAAGACAGAGAGACAGACAGACAGAGACAGACAGACAGACAGACAGACAGACAGACAGACAGACAGACAGAGACAGAGACAGAGACAGAGACAGAGACAGAGGGGAGAGAGAAAUUCACAAACUAUUUAUGGCAUUCUAAGGGUUAAACAAGGCCACAUCUUUAGAGAUUCAAUUUAAAACCUAUCUUUCCCCCUCUCCCAUUUUGCAUCAGAGCCUCUCUGGAACAAAGCAGGCACUCUCCUGAGCUACAUUCCUCAGUCCACAGUCCAUCUUGUAGGCACAAACCCUAGAGAUAAGAGAGGCCACCAAGUCUCUGAUAUUUGAUUAGGUACCCCUGGUUAAAAUCAUGGCUCUUGAGCUAGAAUCAAGAACCCAGGUAAGGAGUCUCUUGGAGUCCUUCUUGUGCCUCCUCAGAUGUUAAAAAGGGCAACCUCAGGCAGGAUCCCAGAGGCACCCCAUCUGGAACCACCGCUUUCAAAGAGAGAGGAGGCCCAGGGGAAACCACAGUUGCUUUUCUAGGGGGAUGCGCCAUCUGCAGAUGGCAGCCACCUGCAAAGCAGGGGAAAGAGGCAGACCCUCCUACUGGGAGGUAAGGGAGAGCAAUGAGCAAGAAAGGGCUGGAAUUAGGAAGAAAGAGGUUCCCUCCACACACAAGAGUCCUUGAAGACAUUUCAUUUCUUAAGCAGGGCUGGCAGUCCUGAGAGAAUGCUCAGAUAGCAGCGGGAUGGAUGCACUUUUUGACUUUUAGGGCCUUCCAGGAGCUCCACUGGCCUUUCCUGGAUGGUGCAUCUCUGGCCCAAAUACACACCCCUUAAAAGGACCCUUUGGUGGUGAAGGAUUCCUAGCCUGGGAGGUCACUCUGACAGGCAGGAUUACUUCACUCUGCCUAACUCGGCCACGUCUUUGAAGUCUGUAUUACUCUCUCUUCCCACCAUCGGCAUCCACAGCGCCACAAAGCCUACCUUGACACUGGAAUCCCUGCUUCCCGAA